GUGCUCACUUUAGCAUAUACACUAAAAAUUGGAAUAAUACAGAGAAGAUUAGCAUGACUCCUGCACAAGAAUGACACACAAAUUUGUGAAGCAUUCAUAUUUUUU
ensembl:snRNA U6 U6 spliceosomal RNA